rnacentral:rRNA from 1 species
GUCCUAACUGUAAACGAUGGACACUAGGUGUGGGAGGUAUCAACCCCUUCCGUGCCGACGCUAACGCAUUAAGUGUCCAGCCUGGGGAGUACGGCCGCAAGGUUAAAACUCAAAGGAAUUGACGGGGGCCCGCACAAGCGGUGGAGCAUGUGGUUUAAUUCGACGCUACGCGAAAAACCUUACCUGGGCUCGAACGACUGGUGUUAGUCCUGUAGAAAUACGGGAUGACCCGCAAGGGAGCCAGCCGAGGUGCUGCAUGGUUGUCGU